rnacentral:tRNA from 1 species
GCUCGGGUGGUGGAAUUUGGCAGACACGCCAGCUUGAGGUGCUGGUGCCCAAAUGGGCUUGCAGGUUCAAAUCCUGUCCCGAGCACCA